rnacentral:rRNA from 1 species
UUAGAUACCCUAUUAUUUUAGAGCUUAACAUUGUAAGUAAAUAAUAAUUAUGAAAGCAAAAAAUUAUGGCGGUAUUUUAAGCUUUUCAGAGGAAUUUGCUCUUUAAUGGAUAAAACACCAAAAUCUUACUUAGAUUUGUGAUUUCAAUUGUAUACCACUAUUAAAACAAUUUAUAACUUUAAUUGUUUAAAUUUACAAAACUAAAAUAUAUUAAGUCAAGGUGCAGUAAAAAUUUAAGGAUGAAGUGAAUUACAUUACUUUUUAGUGAGAUAAGUUUAUAACAAUAUUUAGGAUUUGAAAGUAAAAUUAAAAUAGGAUGU